rnacentral:rRNA from 1 species
AGGGUUCGAUUCUGGCUCAGGACGAACGCUGGCGGCGUGCUUAACACAUGCAAGUCGAGCGAUGAAGCUUCUUCGGAAGUGGAUUAGCGGCGGACGGGUGAGUAACACGUGGGUAACCUGCCUCAUAGAGGGGAAUAGCCUUCCGAAAGGAAGAUUAAUACCGCAUAAGAUUGUAAUAUUGCAUGAUAUAGCAAUUAAAGGAGUAAUCCGCUAUGAGAUGGACCCGCGUCGCAUUAGCUAGUUGGUGAGGUAACGGCUCACCAAGGCGACGAUGCGUAGCCGACCUGAGAGGGUGAUCGGCCACAUUGGGACUGAGACACGGCCCAGACUCCUACGGGAGGCAGCAGUGGGGAAUAUUGCACAAUGGGGGAAACCCUGAUGCAAGCAACGCCGCGUGAGUGAUGACGGUCUUCGGAUUGUAAAGCUCUGUCUUCAGGGACGAUAAUGACGGUACCUGAGGAGGAAGCCACGGCUAACUACGUGCCAGCCGCCGC